GACGAACGCUGGCGGCGUGCUUAACACAUGCAAGUCGAACGGAAAGGCCCUGCUUUUGUGGGGUGCUCGAGUGGCGAACGGGUGAGUAACACGUGAGUAACCUGCCCUUGACUUUGGGAUAACUUCAGGAAACUGGGGCUAAUACCGGAUAGGAUCUCCUGCUGCAUGGUGGGGGUUGGAAAGUUUCGGCGGUUGGGGAUGGACUCGCGGCUUAUCAGCUUGUUGGUGGGGUAGUGGCUUACCAAGGCUUUGACGGGUAGCCGGCCUGAGAGGGUGACCGGCCACAUUGGGACUGAGAUACGGCCCAGACUCCUACGGUAGGCAGCAGUGGGGAAUAUUGCACAAUGGGCGGAAGCCUGAUGAAGCAACGCCGCGUGCGGGAUGACGGCCUUCGGGUUGUAAACCGCUUUCGCCUGUGACGAAGCGUGAGUGACGGUAAUGGGUAAAGAAGCACCGGCUAACUACGUG
rnacentral:rRNA from 1 species